rnacentral:rRNA from 1 species
AGUGAACGCUGGCGGUAGGCCUAACACAUGCAAGUCGAACGGCAGCACAGUAAGAGCUUGCUCUUACGGGUGGCGAGUGGCGGACGGGUGAGGAAUACAUCGGAAUCUACUUUUUCGUGGGGGAUAACGUAGGGAAACUUACGCUAAUACCGCAUACGACCUCCGGGUGAAAGCAGGGGAUCUUCGGACCUUGCGCGAUUGAAUGAGCCGAUGUCGGAUUAGCUAGUUGGCGGGGUAAAGGCCCACCAAGGCGACGAUCCGUAGCUGGUCUGAGGGGAUGAUUAGCCAGACUGGAACUGAGACACGGUACAGACUCCGACGGUAGGCAGCAGUGGGGAAUAUUGGACGAUGGGGGCGAGCCUGAUCCAGCCAUACCGGGUGGGGGAAGAAGGCCUUCGGGUUGGAAAGCCCUUUUGUUGGGAAAGAAAAGAAGCAGGUUAAUACCCCGCUGUUCUGACGGUACCCAAAGAAUAAGCACCGGCUAACUUCGUG